GGUGCUGUGGCUUAGUGGUAGAGUGCUUGCCCGUCGUGUGCAAGACCCUGAUUCAAUCUCCAGUACCG
rnacentral:tRNA from 1 species